rnacentral:rRNA from 1 species
GCAUAUCAAUAAGUGGAGGAAAAAGAACUAACAAGGAUUCCCCUAGUAACGGCGAGUGAAGUGGGAAAAGCUCAACUUUGUAAUCUGGCUGUCUUUUGGCAGUCCGAGUUGUAGUCUAGAGAAGUGAUGUCCGCGCAGACCCUUAUAGAUUUCGGUUGGAAUGCCAAGUCAAAGAGGGUGAGAAUCCCGUAUUUGAUAAGGUGGUCUUGUGCAUUGUGAUACGCUUUCAAAGAGUCGAGUUGUUUGGGAAUGCAGCUCAAAGUGGGUGGUAAAUUCCAUCUAAAGCUAAAUAUUGGCGAGAGACCGAUAGCGAACAAGUACCGUGAGGGAAAGAUGAAAAGCACUUUGGAAAGAGAAUGAAAUAGUACAUGAAAUUGCUGAAAGGGAAACGAUUGAAGUUAGACAUGCGCUUUGGGUAUUCAACCUUGGCUUCGGUCUUGGUGCAUUUGCCUAAUUUUGCAGGCCAACAUCAGUUAUCUUUGCUGUAAAAGGGUUUUGGGAAUGUGGCUCUUUCGGGAGUGUUAUAGCCCUUUGCUGGAUGCAGAAUCGAUGACUGAGGAACGCAGUGCGCCUUUAUUGGCAAGGCUUUCGGGCUUCGAGCACUUAGGAUGUUGGUAGAAUAGCUUUAAACGACCCGUCUUGAAACACGGACCAAGGAGUCUAACAUGCUUGCGAGUGUUUGGGUGUCAAACCCGAGCGCGCAAUGAAAGUGAAUGCAGGUGGGAUCCGUAAAAGGUGCACCAUCGACCGAUCUGGAUAUUUAUUGAUGGAUUUGAGUAAGAGCAUGUAUGUUGGGACCCGAAAGAUGGUGAACUAUGCCUGAAUAGGGUGAAGCCAGAGGAAACUCUGGUGGAGGCUCGUAGCGGUUCUGACGUGCAAAUCGAUCGUCAAAUUUGGGUAUAGGGGCGAAAGACUAAUCGAACCAUCUAGUAGCUGGUUCCUG